rnacentral:lncRNA from 1 species
GCGAGACACCUCUUGGUUCUUACCUCACUUACUAUGUGGAGUAAGUGUUCCUUAAUAUAGUCACUUGAAAGUUUCCUUCUUCCACCAAUGUGGGAGAGUUAGUAGAUUUUUCACUUUUGAGUACACUUUCCAUUUUUUAGUUUUAUCUCAAUUCUUUUCCUCCACUUGGUUUCCUCUAUUUUUCAUUCACACUUUGAUCUUGAAC